rnacentral:lncRNA from 1 species
UAUUGACGCCUUACCAUUGAUACAAAAAAUCAAAGGUUUGUAAAAAUUGUAAAACAAUCAAUGUAACUCAUUUUUAAAUAAACUCGUUUCACUGAAAACGUAAUUUUUUUUAACUCACUUGUAAGUUCCUAAAUGUCAUUUAAGAAUCAAAAUAGUAAUCUAUACUAUGCAUUCUAAAAGACCAAGAACAAUUAACUUUUAUCAUUUCAACUUGUCUAUUAGUGCUGGUGGGGGUCCAUAGGGGUCCCCACUAUACAUGGACCAAACAUUCAUUCUAUUAAUCAAACGAUCGUCCCCAUACCUCGUUUGAUAAUGGAUGUUAAACAUACAACCGCCUUAAUACCCUGUUAGGUAUAAGCAUAAUCAAAUAAUUCUCAACCCCUUCCAGUAG